AGAUUGAACGCUGGCGGCAUGCUUUACACAUGCAAGUCGAACGGUAACAGGCCGCAAGGUGCUGACGAGUGGCGAACGGGUGAGUAAUGCAUCGGAACGUGCCCAGUCGUGGGGGAUAACGCAGCGAAAGCUGUGCUAAUACCGCAUACGAUCUAUGGAUGAAAGCGGGGGACCGAAAGGCCUCGCGCGAUUGGAGCGGCCGAUGUCAGAUUAGCUAGUUGGCGGGGUAAAGGCCCACCAAGGCGACGAUCUGUAGCUGGUCUGAGAGGGACGACCAGCCACACUGGAACCUGAGACACGGUCCAGACU
rnacentral:rRNA from 1 species